rnacentral:lncRNA from 1 species
GGGUUAUUACCACGUAAUAAUUGAUGAGGACACUAAGGGCUAAGAGGAGUUAAUUAACUUGUCCCCAGUUACAGAGUCGGAAAUCAGGGAUGGAUCUUAAUUGGUGGGACUGUUCCCAGGGCCUGUGAGAGACUGGGUUUCAGCCCAGAGCCCAACACAGCGCCGGAAGACAAAGUAUCAGGGCAGUGGUUUUCAAAGUGUGGUCCCUGGACCAAUAGCAUGAACAUCAUCUUGGAACUUGUCAGAAAUGGAAGUUCCCAGGCCCCAUGCCAAACCUACUGAAUUGGAAACACUAGGAGUGGGACACAGCUAUCUGACCAAGACUUCCAGGCCAGUGACGUGUAAAUGGCAAACACCACUUCUGCUUAUAUCCAGUUGAUGACCACGUUGUCAUAGCCACACUCAGCCACAAAGUCAGCUGCCAACUGUAGCCUCUAGCAGUUGUCCAUUGCACAGGAAGAAGGGAAGAACUGAUUUUGAAGGCAUAACUGACCAUAAUCCCGCUAAAGGAAACAGGACAUCCUAAGACGGCUGCUGAAAUCACUACCCUUGCUGAUGGAAACUCACAUCUCCGAGCCUUUGGCAAGGGCUUUAAUAAAAUCUCCUUUUAGAAAUGACUUCUUAUAGCCUGCUAUUAAUUAUCCUGGUUGGAGGAGAACA